rnacentral:rRNA from 1 species
GACGAACGCUGGCGGCGUGCUUAACACAUGCAAGUCGAACGGGAUGAUUUAGAAGCUUGCUUUUAGAGAAUCUAGUGGCAAACGGGUGAGUAACACGUAGGCAACCUGCCGACAGGAUGGGGACAACAUUCCGAAAGGAAUGCUAAUACCGAAUGAAGCGCAGGAGAGGCAUCUCUCCUGCGUGAAAGAUGGCCUCUAUUUAUAACCUAUCACCUGUCGAUGGGCCUGCGGCUGAUUAGCUGGUUGGUGAGGUAAGGGCUCACCAAGGCGACGAUCAGUAGCCGGUCUGAGAGGAUGAACGGCCACAUUGGGACUGAGACACGGCCCAGACGCCUACGGGAGGCAGCAGUGGGGAAUCUUCCGCAAUGGGCGCAAGCCUGACGGAGCAACGCCGCGUGAGGGAAGAAGGUCUUCGGAUCGUAAAGCUCUGUUGAUGGGGACGAACGUGCGAAGGGUGAAUAAACCUUUGUAAUGACGGUACCUGUCGAGGAAGCCACGGCUAACUACGUG